CGACCCCAGUUUACGCGGGAUUACCCGCUGAGUUUAAGUAUAUCAAUAAGCAAAGGAAAAGAAUCGUACAAGGAUUCCCUUAGUAACGGUGAGCAAAUCGGGAACAACCCCGACUUAGAAUUGGGUGGCUCCGUCAUCCGAAUUGUAGUCUGGAGAAGUGUCCUAAGUGGCAGACCGGGCCCAAAUCCCCUGAAAGAGGGUGGCAAAGAGAGUGAAAGCCCCAUUAUGCCCAGACCCUAUCACACUACAAGGCACUGUCUACGAGUUGGCUUUUUGGGAAUGCAACCCAAAUCGAGUAGUGAAUUCCAUCCAAGGCUAAAUAUGGGCGGGAGACCGAUAGCGAACAAGUACCGUGAGGGAAAGAUAUAGAGGAAUUUAAAAAGAGAGUUAAAGAGUCCAUAUAUUUAUCGAUAGGAAAGCGGAUGGGGGCCGUUGAAACGCCCCUAUCAGAUAUGGAAUAGGGACGAGCCGGUCCACAUAUCAACUCGGGGCGUGGACCAUCGUGGAUUAGAGGACGGCCAAAGCCUGGGCUCUUGAUACACUAGUGGAACGAUGUCUCCACAAUUAUGGCAGGAAUCGCAUACCUCUGGCGUGCUUUGGCAUCUGCGCACUCCGAACGCUGACCUGUGGGCUCCACAUUCAACCCAUCUUGAAAUACAAACCAAGUAGUCAAACAUGUGUGCGAGUCAACAGGUGAGUAAACCCGUAAGAGGUAAGAAUGGUAAUUGGUGAGAUCUCCCUAAGGGGUGCACCGCCGACCGACCUUGAUCUUCUAAUAAGGGUUCGAGUGUGAGCGUACCUGUCGGGAGCCAAAAGAUGGUGAACUAUGCCUGAGAGACGUAAAACUAGAGAAAACUCUGGUGGAGGCCCACAAUGAUACGAACGUGCAAAUUAUUCAUCUGACUUGGGUAUAUGGGUGAAAUACUAAUCGAACCAUCUAGUAGAUGGUUUCCUUUGAAGUUUCCCUCCGGAUAGCUUGAGCUUGCGCGCGAACUUCUAUUAGGUAAAGCCAAUAAUUAGAGGCCUCGAAGGAGCAAUUCCCUUAAACUAUUCACGAACAUUGAAUAGGUAGGAUGAUAAAGCUGAUUUAUUGAGCCGCACCACGGAAUCAGGAGCUCCAAGUGGGCAAUUUUUGUUAAGCAGAACUGGCAAUGCGGGAUGAACUGGAACACAAGUUAUGGUGCCAAAAUGUGCGCUAACCUAGAUCCCACAAAGGGCAUUGGUCGUUUAAGACAACAAGACGAUGGUCAUGGAAAUUAAAAUCCAUUUAGGAGUGUUUAACAACUUACCUGCCGAAUCAACUAGCCUCGAAAAUGGAUGGCCCUUAAGCAUGUGACCUACACCCAGCCGUCAUGGCAAGUGCCAGGCCCCAAUAUUUGAAGGGCGCGGUGAUCACUGAAAAACCUUUGGUGUGAGCCCAUGCGGAGUGGCCAUCGGUGAAGAUCUUGGUGGUAGUAAAAAAUAUUCAAAUGAGAACUUUGAAGGCCGAAGAAGGGAAAGGUUCCAUGUGAACAACACUUGCAUAUGGGUUAGUCAAUCCUAAGGGUUAGGGAAACCCCGACAGAUAGCGCAUUUCAUGCGUACUCCGAAAAGGAAUCAGGUUAAAAUCUUGACCAGGGACGUGGUGGUCGACGACAACGUUAUGAAAUUUGGAAACAUCAAUGGGAGCCUCGAGAAGAGUUAUCUUUCUUAUUUAACAGCCUUCCCACCCUAGAAUCAACUUGGUCCGAGGUUGGAUCCAGCGGCUGGAAGAGCAACGCAUGUUGCGUGAUAUCCGGUGCACUCUUGGUGGCCCUUAAAAAUUUGGAGGAACGAAUGUCAUCCACGCCCAGUCAUACUCAAAAUUGUAUCAGGUCUCCAAGGUGAACAACCUCUGGUCGAUGGAACAAUGUAGGCAAGGGAAGUUGGCAAAAUGAAUCUAUAACUUUUUAAAAUAGAUUGGCUCUACGGGCUGUGCACGGGAGUCCUAGUCCCGAACCCAUCGACUGUAGGUAGAUUGCGCAACCUUUUCUCUCAGUGAGGCAGGUCGCCCCAUGCCGGGCGGGGGAUGGACUGGGAAUAGUCCCUUUUGGGGCCUUCCCUGCAUAUCAAACGACCAACUCAGAACUGGUACGGACAAGGGUAAUUUGACUGUUUAAUAAAAAGAAAGCAUUGUGAUGGUCCCAAUGAAUAUUCACACAAUGUGAUUUUUACCCAGUGCCCUGAAUAUCAAAGUGAAGAAAUUUAACCAAGCCUGGUUAAAUGGACGGAGUAACUAUGGCUCUCUUAAGGUAGCCAAAUGCUUCGUCAUAUAAUUAGUGACUCACAUGAAUGGAUUAACGAGAUUCCCUCUGUCCCCAUCUUCUAUCUAGCGAAACCACAGCCAAGGAAAUGGGCUUGGCAGAAUUACGGAGAAAGAAGACCCUGUUGAGCUUGAAUCUAGUCCGACUUUGUGAAAUGACAUGAGAGGUGUAGUAUAAGUGGGAUAUGAAAGGUAAAAGUGAAAUACCACUACUUUUAACGUUAUUUUACUUAUUCCGUGAAUCGAAAGUGGGGUGAUGCCCCUCAUUUUGGAACCAAGGCUCACUCUGCAGGGUGACCUGGGUGGAAGAGAUUUUCAGAUGAGGAGUUUGGCUAGGGAGGCAUAUCUGUUAAAAGAUACCACAGGUUUCCUAAGAUAAGCUAAAUGAGAACUGAAAUCUCUUGUCGAACAGAAGGGUAAAAACUCAUUUGAUGUUGAUUUGCAGUAUGAUUAAGAACCAUGAAAGCAUGGCCUCAUGAUCCUUUAGACCUUCAAAAUUUGAAGCUAGAGGUGUCAGAAAAGUUACCACAGAGAUAACUUGCUUGUAGCAGCCAAGCGUUUAUAGCGACGUUGAUUUUUUAUCGUUCAUUCCCAGCUCUUCCUAUUUUUGUGAAGCAGAAUUCACCAAGUGUUGGAUUAUUCACCCUAAAAUAGGGAACGUGAGCUUGGUUUAGACCAUUGUGAGACUGGUUAGAUUUAUCCUACAAAUGACACUAUCGCAAUAAUAGUUCAACCUAGUACGAGAGGAACUUUUGAUUCACACAAUUGUUCAUCGUGCUUGGAUGAAAAUCUAGUGGUGAGAAGCUACCCUGUGUUAGAUUAUGACUAAAUGCCUCUAAGUCAAAAUUUUCUCUAUAAGAGAUAGAUGCACCCGUCGUCCUCUUGUUGACCCUCAGUAGGGGCCUCAUCCCCUAAGGGCAUGUGUCGUUUGCUAAGCCAUCGGAACAGAAGGGUCUCGGUGGCCUCCUUGAAGUACAAUUUCCAUCGAGCGGUAGGUAGAAUCCUUUGCAGAUGACUUAAAUAUGUGAUGGGGCAUUUUAAGUGGAAGAGUGGCCUUGCUGCCAUGAUCCCCUGAGAUUCAUCCCUUUGUUACUCUGGUUCCU